GCGAACGCUGGCGGCAGGCCUAACACAUGCAAGUCGAACGAACUCUUCGGAGUUAGUGGCGGACGGGUGAGUAACACGUGGGAACGUGCCUUUAGGUUCGGUAUAACUCAGGGAAACUUGUGCUAAUACCGAAUGUGCCCUUCGGGGGAAGGAUUUAUCGCCUUUAGAGCGGCCCGCGUCUGAUUAGCUAGUUGGUGAGGUAAAGGCUCACCAAGGCGACGAUCAGUAGCUGGUCUGAGAGGAUGAUCAGCCACAUUGGGACUGAGACACGGCCCAAACUCCUACGGGAGGGAGCAGUGGGGAAUCUUGCGCAAUGGGCGAAAGCCUGACGCAGCCAUGCGGCGUGAAUGAUGAAGGUCUUAGGAUUGUAAAAUUCUUUCACCGGGGACGAUAAUGACGGUACCCGGAGAAGAAGCCCCGGCUAACUUCGUG
rnacentral:rRNA from 1 species